rnacentral:rRNA from 1 species
UACAGAGGGGGCAAGCGUUGUUCGGAAUUACUGGGCGUAAAGGGCGCGUAGGCGGCCUUCUAAGUCGAACGUGAAAUCCCCGGGCUCAACCCGGGAACUGCGUCCGAUACUGGAAGGCUUGAAUCCGGGAGAGGGAUGUGGAAUUCCUGGUGUAGCGGUGAAAUGCGCAGAUAUCAGGAGGAACACCGGUGGCGAAGGCGGCAUCCUGGACCAAUUCUGACGCUGAGGAGCGAAAGCCAGGGGAGCAAACGGG